rnacentral:rRNA from 1 species
CCUACGGGAGGCAGCAGUCGGGAAUUUUGGGCAAUGGGCGAAAGCCUGACCCAGCAACGCCGCGUGAAGGAUGAAGUAUUUCGGUAUGUAAACUUCGAAAGAAUAGGAAGAAUAAAUGACGGUACUAUUUAUAAGGUCCGGCUAACUACGUGCCAGCAGCCGCGGUAAUACGUAGGGACCAAGCGUUGUUCGGAUUUACUGGGCGUAAAGGGCGCGUAGGCGGCGUGGUAAGUCACUUGUGAAAUCUCUGAGCUUAACUCAGAACGGCCAAGUGAUACUGCUGUGCUAGAGUGCAGAAGGGGCAAUCGGAAUUCUUGGUGUAGCGGUGAAAUGCGUAGAUAUCAAGAGGAACACCUGAGGUGAAGACGGGUUGCUGGGCUGACACUGACGCUGAGGCGCGAAAGCCAGGGGAGCAAACGGGAUUAGAUACCCCGGUAGUCCUGGCCCUAAACGAUGAAUACUUGGUGUCUGGAGUUAUUAGUGCUCCGGGUGCCGUCGCUAACGUUUUAGUAUUCCGCCUGGGGAGUACGCUCGCAGAGUGAAACUCGAAAUGAAUUGACGGU